rnacentral:rRNA from 1 species
GAUGAACGCUAGCUACAGGCUUAACACAUGCAAGUCGAGGGGCAGCAUGUCGGUUGCUUGCAACCGACGAUGGCGACCGGCGCACGGGUGAGUAACGCGUAUCCAACCUACCCUUGUCCAUCGGAUAACCCGUCGAAAGGCGGCCUAACACGAUAUGCGGUUCUCAGCAGGCAUCUAACGAGAACGAAAUGUGAAGGAGAAGGAUGGGGAUGCGUCUGAUUAGCUUGUUGGCGGGGUAACGGCCCACCAAGGCAACGAUCAGUAGGGGUUCUGAGAGGAAGGUCCCCCCACAUUGGUACUGAGACACGGACCAAACUCCUACGGGAGGCAGCAGUGAGGAAUAUUGGUCAAUGGGCGAGAGCCUGAACCAGCCAAGUCGCGUGAGGGAAGACGGGUCCUAAGGAUUGUAAACCUCUUUUGUCGGGGAACAACGAGUUGCACGCGUGCGACAGUGAGGGUACCCGAAGAAAAAGCAAUCGGCUAACUCCGUGCCAGCAGCCGCGGU